CGGUGGAGCAUGUGGUUAAUUCGAAGCAACGCGAAGAACCUUACCAGGCCUUGACAUGCAGAGAACUUCCCAGAGAUGGAUUGGUGCCUUCGGGAACUCUGGCACAGGUGCUGCAUGGCUGUCGUCAGCUCGUGUCGUGAGAUGUUGGGUUAAGUCCCGUAACGAGCGCAACCCUUGUCCUUAGUUACCAGCACGUUAUGGUGGGCACUCUAAGGAGACUGCCGGUGACAAACCGGAGGAAGGUGGGGGAUGACGUCAAGUCAUCAUGGCCCUUACGGCCUGGGCUACACACGUGCUACAAUGGUCGGUACAAAGGGUUGCCAAGCCGCGAGGUGGAGCUAAUCCCAUAAAACCGAUCGUAGUCCGGAUCGCAGUCUGCAACUCGACUGCGUGAAGUCGGAAUCGCUAGUAAUCGUGAAUCAGAAUGUCACGGUGAAUACGUUCCCGGGUCUU
rnacentral:rRNA from 1 species